rnacentral:rRNA from 1 species
UACAGAGGGUGCAAGCGUUACUCGGAAUUACUGGGCGUAAAGCGUGCGUAGGUGGUUUUUUAAGUCCGUUGUGAAAGCCCUGGGCUCAACCUGGGAAUGGCAGUGGAUACUGGAAAGCUAGAGUGCGGUAGAGGGUAGUGGAAUUCCCGGUGUAGCGGUGAAAUGCGUAGAGAUCGGAAAGAACACCAACGGCGAAAGCACUCUGCUGGGCCGACACUGACACUGAGAGACGAAAGCUAGGGGAGCGAAUGGG